CAGAAACAAGAAACCAAUUAAUGGACUCCUGUCAUCCCCUGGCUGAGGUACAGGGCUUCGGCUGUGACUAGACAUGGAGUAGACUGAGCAAUAUACAAAUACAAUCUGAUUUCACAAAAUUUGCAAAUGAAAUGAAAGGACAACAACUAUGAUACAUGAUACAUGAACUCACUAUUGUGAAAGAGUAAUAAAAUUGGGAACGCGAGUGGAAGUCAGCAAGGGUAAACAUCUGACCCAACAGUUCAUUCAGGGUUGUAAACAGAAAGGACUUCACAGCUCAGACGGUUGAAAGAGAACUGAUGGAUGGGAAAGCAGUCGGCUCCACCUCUAUGCUUAGAGGUCAAGCUCUUAGAGGGGUUGAACUGAUCCAUUCUCUCAGACUCCACUGGGAUCCAUUUUACCCUAAACCAGAAUACACGUUGGGAAGAACAUGACCAGUUGAUACCUGAAUAGGCACAAAAGUUACAUAGAGGGGA
rnacentral:lncRNA from 1 species